rnacentral:misc_RNA from 1 species
AAGUCGUAACAAGGUUUCCGUAGGUGAACCUGCGGAAGGAUCAUUAGCGUGGGGCUCCGGCCCUGUCGUGAUAGAACCCUUGCCUUUUGAGUACCGUCCGUUUCCUCGGCAGGCUCGCCUGCCAAUGGGGACCCCCAAUAAACCCUUUUCAUGUACCUGUAUCAGUCUGACAAACAAACAAAAGUUAAAACUUUCAACAACGGAUCUCUUGGUUCUG